CAGCCGCCGCGGUAAUACGAAGGGGGCUAGCGUUGAUCGGAAUUACUGGGCGUAAAGCGUGCGUAGGCGGUUCGAUAAGUCAGUUGUGAAAGCCCUGGGCUCAACCUGGGAAUUGCAGUCGAUACUGGAGAGCUAGAGUACGGUAGAGGGAGGUGGAACUCCGGGUGUAGCGGUGAAAUGCGUAGAUAUCUGGAGGAACACCGAUGGCGAAGGCAAUCUCCUGGGCCUGUACUGACGCUCAGGCACGAAAGCGUGGGUAGCAAACAGGAUUAGAUACCCCAGUAGUCCCUGUCUCUUAUAC
rnacentral:rRNA from 1 species